AGUCUUAUCGGUAUUAGUAAGGUACACUAAAUGUGUGCGUGUGCGAGCGCUUGCUCGCGACUGAUUGGUCCAACAUGCACGCACACUUACGCAAUGCCCAUGCAUACUACGUUCUCUCGCCUUCGUGAAUUUCAAGAACUGUA